UCUACAUAAUGCUGCGUUGCAAGAACGUACAAACGGAUGACGUUAAAAUAACGCGAGAGGGAUUUGAGAUCAUAAUCCUGCGCAUGAUUUUUCGAGUCGUUCUCGCAGUACUUUGAUGUCAUCCGCUUGUAGGUUCUUGAUGCACUGCAUAAUAAACUACGCAUCCAAAUGUAACGCGAUCGUUUUUAACACUUCGGCAGGCAAAAAGCACAGUGAAACAUAUAUCGUUUAUUUAUACAGUAUCUAACUUUUUUUAUUAACAAAAGCACCAACAUACAAAAUUCUCGUUGGGCAGGAAUAAACCCCCUGCUACAAUGAAAAGCGCGCAAAAGCAAAUUUAAAUAGAAACAAUCCAUGGUACAGCUCAAGAAACGUUAUCAAUACUUUAAAAUUCAGAAAGAAAAACGUCUGGAAGUUCAGGAUCACUUGAACAAAAUUAUCUUGACCAUGAUCUGAAACCAUGUUUAUGUAACUGAAAUGUAAACAAACAUAAUUGUCCAAAUACAUUAGCUUCUUUUAUUACAAAACUAUUUAAAAAGGGUUAAAUUACAUUAAGAUUUAGAAAGCCUAAAAAUACUUAAAUUCUUAUAAUUAUUUAUUGUAAAUCACAGUUUUCAAAUGUGGCUUACAAUCACUAAACUGAUCUGGGCCACAUACUUCCCACCCACAAUUGGCCCAAAUGUUACCUGCCAUCAUGGAUCUAGUGCCAUCAUUGCCCAUACUUGGCUGACGUGUUGCAUGCCAUUGCCAUUAUACAUUGCUGCUGAAAUGGCGGGCGGUGGCUAGCUGUGGACACUUCCGUUUUCGACCACAGCAAUAAAAAAAGUACAAUGCAGCCAGUUCACAUCAUACAUACGCCCACUCCCCUAACAUAUAGCCUAAAUACAGAAUGAAAAUACCAGUACACAGAGGGUAUUUAGAACAGAGACAGACAGAGCCAGACGACCUGAAUGGAGUAAAACAAGCUUGUACUAUCCUAACAUGUUAGAAGUCUUUGACUUCACAGUCAUUAAUGGCCAUCUUGUGAUCUUCAUCCCACUUUUACGGAGUCCAUGGGCCCAUGAGCCCCAAAGUCUAUUACAGAUGCUGGCCUGAGGCUCUUUUUCCAGUACAUACUUUGCAGUACAUACUUUGUGUCUGUAUCUUAUCAACUUUGGCUUCUGAUGUCAGUUAGAUGGCAUGCAGACAGCUGGGAAUUAAAAUUAGCACCUCACACCUAUCAAAUACAGGGCAACUGCAAAACUUCCAAGUCCCCUGCAACCAAUUCAGAAAUAUACAAUUAAGAAAUGUAUUAUAUUUCAGAAGCAAAGAUAAACUUUGCUGGCCACAUCAGCUUAAGAUUCAACAAGUGCAGAAAUAAGAGUGAUAGAUAAAAAAUAUAUGCAUAAAAUAAAAAAAUAAAAAGCGCUAUGUAGGCUACCUUUCAUGCAGAUAUGUUGUAAAUAAAAAUUGAACAUAAUAAUAACUGUGUGUUAUACUACAGACACAGAUCUAAAAAUAUUGCCUCGAAAGAUGAAAUACUGCAGGAGGUAUUGUUGCACAGCUAAAUAGGCCUAUACAGUUAUUGUACAGGUAAUAAUUGCACAGCUUAAGUUUUAUAUAAAAUUCUGAAAUCAAGAAUAGUCAGUGAUUGUUUAUGCAUCAUAUUUCCCGUGUUUUACUGUCAGGCACUGACUUAGUGUUUACAAUUCUGAAGUGUUCUGUAACAAUUUCAUAAGUGGCAGAGAAAAAUUGAAUGGCAACAUUUUCAGACCCCACCCAUGGACUGUAUCAGCUGCUGCUGUCUGGCAAGUGGUGCUGCAGCCUCAAGUCUCUGAGCAUCAUGCUUUGGGACAGUUUUUCUGCAAGACAACCAGGCUUAAGAAUGCUGGAAACUACUAACCUCCUAAUGCCUGUCUGCUUGUUGAUGUGAAAGGACUGAAUCUUGUGUCCUGAUAUGUCCUCUUUUGGCUUGGAUUUUAAGGGUGAAAUUGUCCUUUUUGUCUGUUUGAAAUGCUGCCCUGACAGUGGUUUUCUGUUAUCGUAUAUAUUGACCAUAGACUAUAUUGGCACAUGUCCACUUUAAAAACAUUGAAGACACAAAGUCAAUCUGUAUAUUCAACAAAAUUCAAGGCCCUCACUGUGAAAUCAUUAGGCCACUACACAAUUUUCUCGGUUGAUGGGGAAAACAGCCACACUAUGAAUAAAGCUUUACAAUGGGGUGCUAUAUUUUUUAAUUUACAAUAGGUGAACAAUGUGUGAAAGACUAGGAAUUUAUUCUGGGGCUCAACAGUUCAACCAAGGCUCUUGCAUAAACUUGAGCUUUGGUAAACUGGGGGUGAAGCAAUUGAAGACAUUAAAAUGCUUGAAACAUUAAACAACCGUGUAAGUGUAAACAAUCAUCGUAAUUGUUUUUCUAGUCUCUCUCUCUGUGCUUUAGGUAUCAAGAAAGUGCGCGCAGAUUCAAAUAAUUGAAUGUUGUACAAUCAUUGGACGAAUCGUACGGCAGAGGCAAUCUCGACCAAUAACAUCGCUUGACUUUGGGAGGGGGAUAUACGUCAUAACGUAAGAUCGCGCCAUACUGGCAGUGGCCAGAGUAGAGAGCCUUGAUAAAGUAUGGAACGUUUUCAGGAUAUUCAGCUUUCACUAAAGCGAAUUUUAGUUGAUGUGUCAAUGAAGAACAAAAGCUGGAAUGUGAAUAGAAGAAGGGGUCGUACGGGGUCUGUAAAAAUACUCAAGUGGUGCUCGCUGCAUAUCAGAUCAAGCAUUGGAAUAAGAUUUUUAUCGGGGGAGAACAACCAACAGAAAGACCCAUUCACCAACUACAUGGCGCACUGAAAGGGGAGAUUCAUGUCACCUUCACCAGUCCUUUCUUUAAUUGCUGGAAACUGUUAAGGGAAAGACCCUCAGACAUAAUAGGAUAAAUGUGGCUGCAGAAUGUUUUCGUGAAUCCGGCCCCAGGUGGUGAAGUCGGAACCAGACCAGACAGCUCUCGCACAGCCAGCCUCUGAACCUGCUCUACAGUUUGAAUCGCCCGGGUGAAGUUAAACUCUACUUUGCUGGUGACCCAGAUGGCUGAGAACAUGAUAGGCUGAAACCCUGGAAGCUAAGAGGGAAGCGGCAAAGGAGUUCGAAGAAGAGCUGAAAAGCACGUCUUAAUGAACACAAGGACAAGGCCUGGUGAAAGCCACUACAGAGGAUCAUAGCCAUCGUUGGAGUUCUGAAAGGACGUGGGUGAAUAUCAAUCUGCCAAAUGAACUUUUUUUAGCAUGCACAUUCACAUCUUUAUAUUAAUACUGAUUAUAUAUGAACUUGUUUGUUUGUUACUGGAAAGAACUUAGCUUCUAUUGUGUUUGACAGAAGGAGUUUUAAGCCUAUGUGCAUUUUCUAGAUGUUAAGCAUGAACAGUACUUAAACAACCAUUACCCGUACCAGCUCUGUCCGUGCUCCAUUUUCCAUUGCAGAUCAUACUCAGAGAUAGUACCCCUUAAAUGCAGCUGGUCGUCAUAGCAAGGCCACACACAACUGCCGCGGCGUAAUGUUCAAUGCGAGACACACACCAGCGCCCAAAUUUAAUUUAAAACGUUUCAGCAUGACUCGGAUUGUACUUAAUUUAACUAAAACAAAUAUCAUAAACAUGUCUAAUUAAUACUUUAUCAACACGUCAUACUCCUGGAAAAGACCCACAUAAAUCACAUAUUUUAAAGGAAUAGUCUACUCAUUUUCAAUAUUAUUUCAUAUUUUCAUAUUUCAACAUAUAUCAAUAAUAUGUUAUUACCUUAACUAAGAAUUGUUGAUACAUCCCUUUAUCAUCUGUGUGCGUGCACGUAAGCGCUGGAGCGCGCUGCGACGCUUCGAUAGCAUUUAGCUUUGAGUUCACUCAAAAACUCAAAAGUCGAUUUAAAAUUGCAGUUUAAAAAAACUUGCAUGCAUUGAAGACCCGUCACCCCUAGGAACAACAUGAAACGAUUGAAUAUAUCUUCAUAUGAUAUAUCAGGACACUUCUUAAUUUCAUCCUCACACUGGCUCAUACAUGGCUGGUGUAGUAAAUAUUUACCAUAACCGUUUUAAUCAUGUUUUAUGCGUGCUCCCAACACACUGUUUUCUACUGGCUGGCCAUUAAAACUGAGCUCCCGCACAAAGAAGGGAAAUACGUCACAUCUCUUACUCCCGCGUUUGAAAAUAAUGUGGAUAACAACAUUAUUCUGUUUGAGGUGUAACAAGCUGUGUUCCCACAUGUUUAAAGGCUCUCUAAGCGAAUCUGCGAGACGUUAGUUAUUGUUGACGUUUGAAACUGUUUUCAAACAGACGGAGCGUAGCUAACUCCUCCCCCUCCCUUCCGUGCUUUCAUGAACGCGCCCAACCCCCACCCCCAAAUCCUUUGUCGUUUAUUGGCUGGAAUACUUUGUUUUGUUUUGUGAUGCUAGGUUUGGCCACUUGUUGAUAUUGCCGUUUGUGAAGUCUAGGCUGUCUACAGAGAUCGCGUUUUUUUACAGUUUGAUCAACGGACAGGCAGCAAGCAGAUAGUGAGGAGAUGUUUCCGGUAUGUAACAAAAAAUGUUUUAUGGUCUAAAACGCUUCAAUUCCCUUAGAGCGCCUUUGUUUUGCUGCUUAUGACCGUAAUCAUCAUGGAAAACGUUGGUUUACUGAUACUACACGCCAGAAGUCGCACCCAUAAUUCGCGCAAAUCGUCAUGGGGUGUAGGAAUAGUGUGCAUAGGGCCCAAAAUUAUUAACAAUAGGGUAACAUUCUUCAUAGAGCCAUAGCUUAUUUAUUUUGCUUUUAAAGUGCACCAAAUGAAUGCACUUAACAUUAAAAUGAACACUUUUCUUUUGAGUGGAAAUGUACAUCUCAAAUGGGGAUAUGCAGUGAAUGGAAAGGACAUUGCUGUAAAAUAUCAGAAGUAUGUAUUUAUGUAUGUAUGUAUUUGGUGAAAAAGUUGUUGAUGCAAAUGCACUUAACAUAGACCUUCUGUUUGUUUUUUGUACAUUUAAAACACAAUAUACUAAUACAGAAUGUGUGGACAUAAACUGGAAUGUUGGUUGCAAUUACUGUCAAAUAAUGUUUAUAUUAAGUAAAUCCCAUGUACUAUUAAGAAAAGUCUGUAGAUAUAUUGGAGUUGCUUGUUAUUACUGUCAAAUUAUAUUCAUAUAAGGUUAGUCCCAUGCACUUAUAAGAAAGGUCUGUAUAUAUCGGAGUUGCUUAUAACAGUGGUUCUCAAACUGGGGUCCGGGGCCGCGAGAUGGUGCCAGGGGGGCUCCAGUUUUAUGACAUUUUAUAAAAUACAUUAAAUUCUAAUGAAUUCUGGGAAAUUAAACUAGGGAUGCACCGAUACCGAUACUGGUAUCGGGUAUCGGCCUUGAUACCACAUUUUCUAAAGUACUCGUACUCGUUAAAAGUCCCCCGAUACCUGUAAUCGAUACCACGGUCUGAGAAAUGUCUAUGCUUGAGCAGCGUGUAAGGAGUUAAUGCCUCGUGUUGUCCAAAGAGGCAGAGUUUACAACAAACUGGAAAACUAGUCCUUUGUUUUUUUGUUAAAUUAUAUAACUAAAGCUGUUACCUGUACAUUUAAAUCAUGUUUUUUUAUGAAGUACUCUGUAUCGGUAUCGGCAAGUACUGAAAUGCAAGUACUUGUACUCGUACUUGUAUUCCAAAAAAGUGGUAUCGGUGCAUCACUAAAUUAAACCAAAAAAAGGUAGCACUACUUUGUAUAAUUUAAUGUUUUGUUUAAUUAAAAUGUGAAGUUUUAGAACAGUUUUUUGUCAUAAAUUUUCUUUGGGGGGGGCGCGAAGGAAUGCACCGUACACAAAGGGGGGCCGCACGCUGAAAAAGUUUGAGAACCACUGGCUUAUAAAGUAAACCCCAUGAUGUAAUGGAAAAAGUAUAUGUGU